rnacentral:rRNA from 1 species
GACGAACCGUGCGAACGUUGUUCGGAAUCACUGGGCUUAAAGGGCGCGUAGGCGGCUUGCCAAGUCGGUGGUGAAAUCCUGCAGCUUAACUGUAGAAGUGCCUCCGAUACUGGCGAGCUCGAGGGAGGUAGGGGUCUGUGGAACUUCUGGUGGAGCGGUGAAAUGCGUUGAUAUCAGAAGGAACGCCGGUGGCGAAAGCGACGGACUGGACCUCAUCUGACGCUGAGGCGCGAAAGCGUGGGGAGCGAUCCGG